UACGGGGGGAGCAAGCGUUGUUCGGAUUUACUGGGCGUAAAGGGCGCGUAGGCGGCGUGACAAGUCACUUGUGAAAUCUCCGGGCUUAACUCGGAACGGUCAAGUGAUACUGUCGUGCUAGAGUACAGAAGGGGCAACUGGAAUUCUCGGUGUAGCGGUGAAAUGCGUAGAUAUCAGGAGGAACACCGGUGGCGAAGGCGGGUCUCUGGGCCGUAACUGACGCUGAGGAGCGAAAGCGUGGGGAGCGAACAGG
rnacentral:rRNA from 1 species